CAACCACAUUCACACGCGCCUCUCUCUCUCUCUCUCUCUCUCUCUCUCUCCUUCCUCUUUAAUCUCAAAUAUUUAUUAAGGUCUAAUAAGAACUCUUUUCAGUUUAUCACAGAAUGUUUAGGCACAGAUGGAAGAAAUAUUUGGUAAAACAUUUCUUCAACUCACCUUGGACAACUAAGGAAAUUGUUGCAGCUGCUAUUUUCCUUAUGCUCACUUUCGUACAGACGGUGUGCUCUAUUAUCUCUGCUGCGCAACAAUAGUAAGUUUCUCCUUGGCCUUUUCCUCCCCAUAUCCUUAUCCCUUUGUUCAUUCACAUCACAUGUGCUGGUUUUCUACCGGCUUAGAGGUAGCGUCUAGUCUUUGAGAGAGGUGUAAGUUUGGUUUAAUUUGCAAACUGUGAUUAGUCGUCUAUAGUACAGAAGAAGGCUUAGGUUUCCUUCAACUGAGUGUAAGAGAGAUUUGAAGUUUGAAAAAAAAAUUAUGUAGAAGAGUAUUGGCAUACUCUUACACUUAAUUUCCUUUACUAAUUGGAAUUUACAAGGUUAAUUAGUAUGAUAGGAAGCUGAUUUAAAUUAGGAAUUUCAGAUAAUUAAUUGAGUGAGAAGCCAUUCUCUUCUGAUAAUCGGUUUCUUAUUCGUUCACCAGAUUCUAGCAGGAAGCUAAUUUGGGGUCUCAUCAAAGAAGGGAUACUAGGAAAGCCUGUGAAUACUUAUCUAACAAAUAAAGCUGUGUAGGUCUACCAACUAAGAAGUUGCUUUGCCCUGAUCUCUCUGCAUUUCCAUAUGAAAAGCAUGAUUUGAAGAAGUGCCCCUGCUAGCUAGGCCCAUUGCCAAGCUCCUGAAAUGAACUGAAAUACGUAAAUCCAUCAAAGUCUUUCAUUCUUUCAAGUGUUCAUAUUUAACGAAUUCAAACUGUAUGUAUCAAACUGUACGUUUUCUUGCCAAG
rnacentral:lncRNA from 1 species